rnacentral:rRNA from 1 species
GAUGAACGCUGGCGGCGUGCUUAACACAUGCAAGUCGAACGGAAAGGCCCUGCUUUUGUUGGGUGCUCGAGUGGCGAACGGGUGAGUAACACGUGAGUAACCUCCCCUUGACUUUGGGAUAACUUCAGGAAACUGGGGCUAAAACCGGAUAGGAUCUCCUGCUGCAUGGUGGGGGAUGGUAAGUUUCGGCUGUUGGGGAUGGACUCGAGGCUUAUCCGCUUGUUGGUGAGGUAGUGGCUUACCAAGGCUUUGACGGGUAGCCGGCCUGAGAGGGUGAACGGCCACAUUGGUACUGAGAUACGGCGCAGACUGCUACGGGAGGCAGCAGUGGAGAAUAUUGCACAAUGGGCCGAAGCCUGAUGCAGCAACGCCGCGUGCGUGAUGACGGCCUUCGGGUUGAAAACCGCUGUGGCCUGUGACGAAGCGUGAUUGACGGUAAUGGGUAAAGAAGCACCGGCUAACUACGUG